rnacentral:rRNA from 2 species
GGAAGUAAAAGUCGUAACAAGGUCUCCGUUGGUGAACCAGCGGAGGGAUCAUUAAAGAGUUGCAAAACUCCAAACCAUUGUGAACGUUACCUUGCCGUUGCUUCGGCGGGCGGCCCGGGCCCUGCCCGGCGCCCCCCGGCCCCACAUCGGGGCGCCCGCCGGAGGUAAACCAAACUCUUGAAUUGCAUGGCCUCUCUGAGUCUUCUGUACUGAAUAAGUCAAAACUUUCAACAACGGAUCUCUUGGUUCUGGCAUCGAUGAAGAACGCAGCGAAAUGCGAUAAGUAAUGUGAAUUGCAGAAUUCAGUGAAUCAUCGAAUCUUUGAACGCACAUUGCGCCCGCCAGUAUUCUGGCGGGCAUGCCUGUUCGAGCGUCAUUUCAACCAUCAAGCCCCGGGCUUGUGUUGGGGACCUGCGGCUGCCGCAGGCCCUGAAAACCAGUGGCGGGCUCGCUAGUCACUCCGAGCGUAGUAGUUUACACCUCGCUCAGGGCGUGCUGCGGGUUCCGGCCGUUAAAAGCCUCUAUACCCAAGGUUGACCUCGGAUCAGGUAGGAAGACCCGCUGAACUUAAGCAUAUCAAUAAGCGGAGGA